rnacentral:rRNA from 1 species
UACGAAGGGUGCAAACGUUGCUCGGAAUCAUUGGGCGUAAAGCGCACGUAGGCGGCUUCGCAAGUCGGAUGUGAAAUCCCUCGGCUCAACCGAGGACGUGCACCCGAAACUGCGGAGCUUGAGUACUGAAGAGGAUCGCGGAAUUCCCGGUGUAGAGGUGAAAUUCGUAGAUAUCGGGAGGAACACCAGUGGCGAAGGCGGCGAUCUGGGCAGAUACUGACGCUGAGGUGCGAAAGCGUGGGGAGCAAACAGGG